GUCAUUCAUAAUUUUGUUUUCGGACGAGUCAAGACACGGUCGUCGGCGGUUUUCUUGCGUUUGUUUUUGUGUUGUUGUUGUAUUCUUUAUUCUUUUCUUUGUGAGGUGAAAAAAAAAUACCAAUAAGAAAAAAGAAAAAUUUGCAUAUUAUAUUUGUGGAAAUGUUAUUGAAAGUCAAAUAAAGAGUGUGGAAAUUGUGUUGCCAAAAGUAAAUAAAUAUUUGAUUUUCUAAAGUUUGCUAACUACAAAAGAAACGGGAACAAGAAUUAAAGAAAAAUAGAGAAAAAACACGGUGAAAACCCAUAACAAAAGUCACUGGUUUUCUAGUGGUUCAUCAAGGUAAAUUUAACAAACGACGACGACAAGAGGGAGCACAGCAACAACAACAAUAUCCAUUAGCAGCGGUAUCCAACACAAACACAGUGUACUGCCAGAAACACCAACAACAACAGACACAGCAGCAGUAACAAUGUGGAGCGCAACGCAUAUAAAAGUGACAAUACAAAGUGCCCGCGGUUUACUAUGCAAGGGCAAAAACAACACAAACAACUGUUUUGUCACCAUUGCGUUGGGCAAAGAAAAAUACCAGACCUCGGUAAAGGAGAAGGCUGAAAGCAAUGUCCAGUGGAAUGAAGAAUGUGAAUUAAAAAUUCCCGAUCAAGGCAACAGAGCUGAAUUGGUAUUAACAUGUCUGCACCGCAACAACUUGGCCAUUGAUGAAUUCUUGGGACAAGUGACGUUGCCACUCAACGAAAUGGAUCCGUAUGAUCGUGCCAGAUCGCGAUGGUACAAAUUGGAAAGUAAACCGGGCAAAGAGAAAAAGAACAAGGAACGUGGCGAGUUGAUGGCCAUGAUUUCGUUCACUGUCAAAUCGGGCUCCCUAACCGAUUUGAGCAAAAAAGAAAAACACAAGUCUUCCAUAGGACAGCUGGCAUCUUCGGUGGGUGGUAGUUUGCUCUCAAUUGGCCAAAUAGAAAAACGUAAGGGUAUCAAGAAAAUUGCCAAAAAGUUCGGUUCUAAAUUGCAUUUGCCCACCGGCAAAAAGAAGAACAAGGAUGGCAUCGAUGAGGAUGGCAUGUCCUAUACCGGUUCAUUUGCCAGCAUUGGAACGCCAAAUCGGGUACGUGUCGUCGACAGCGAAGACGAAGAUGAAUUUCAAUUCGAUAAACUGUCACAAAAGAGUUCGGUUAGCUCUUUGAAUUUGCGCGAUGGCGGUUUGCAGACACCUGCAUCGAAUUAUGCAACAAAGAAUCCCUCUCCCCUGAUGGGCUCGACCGGCAAAGGUAAGGACCACCAUCUCAGAUAUGAUGGAUCAGACAACCUCAGUGUGGAUCCGGAAUUGGAAGAAAUUGAAAAUGAAUUUAGCAUUAGAGCUCGAACUCUGCCGCCUCCCUCGAAACCUCCACGUACACCUCAAAUGGAUACAAGCGUUAAUGGUGGUGGAGCUGGUGAUAUCAGAAUUAAUGGCAAACACAACAACACCGAGUUGGACGAAUGGGAAUCGAAAUUGUAUGGACGCAGUGCGGACAGUGGUAAUUCGGAUUCAUUGAAACGCAGAUCAUGGGAACCCGUUUCGGUGCCCUUGACCUCCAGCAAUGUUCCAGAGGAAUCAGUGGUGGUGGCAUCUGCCAACGAAUCACUGGGUAAAUCAUUUUUGCCUCCUUUGAGAGAGGCUCAUACACCGGAAACAUUGAGUGACACUUCCAGUUCAAGUAGCGAAUCCGAAGCCGAAGAGGAACCACCAAAAUUACCCGAAAAAUCUAAAGAACCAGAAGUUCCUAAACCAUCCAAACAAGAGCCGGAAGAGGAAGUGAAACCCCAAAAACCAACAGAUCUCAAAUUUUCAACUGCCACCAAUGAGCCCAAGAGUGAAGUAAUUUUGCGCAAAGAUUCCUUGCUAUCACCCGAGGAGGAGAAAAAUGAAUUUGCUAAAUUCAAUGCUUCCUUUGCCAAAUUCGAACAACGGCACAGUGCCAAGGUUUUCGAUAUCGAAGAGGAAACUAGUAACUUUUUAGCAAAUGAAUCCAUGUCGUCAGCCAAGUCACGUUCGUCACCACCACAACCUAAACCCAGGCCCAGAAGUUCUGCCUCCUUGGAAAAAGAAAAGGAACAACUUAGGGCCAAAGAAGAAGAGGAGGCAAAGGAAAAAUUACGCUUGCAAAGGGCUGCAGAAGAUGCCAAAUUGGAGGCCGAACUUAAGGCCAAUGAAAAGCGUUUGCGUGAAGAGGAACAGGCUUUACAAAAAGAACUAGAGGAGCGUGAAGAAGAAAAACGACGUGAGGCCAAGCGACGUGAAGAAGAUUUGAGGAUUUUGAACUUUUCAAAACGCCUACUAACCCCUGAGGAAUCUAAAGAGAAGCCAGUAUUCGAUAGCAAACCUAAAGAACAAAAAGAAGAGACAAAGAAGAAGGAAAAACAUGAGAUUAAAGAACGUCUUGCACUCAGCAACAACAACAACAACAACAUGAACCACAAUAAUCGAGGUGAGCUGCGAGAAAACAAACAACCUGUAAGUACUGCUUCUACACCUAGUCCCAAGGCAAAUGAACGCAUUAUAAUUGGUCAUGAAAAGUCUUCUACGCAGGCCGAAAGACGUGCCGAGAUAUCAGCAGCAUUGGCCAAAAAAUAUGAAGGCAAAUCAAGAGAGGAACUUAUGCUAAUUGCCAAUGGCAUGGAAAAUGAAGCCCUGCUGCAGCGUCAACGUGUCAAAGAACUGGAGGAUUAUUUGGACAAUUUACUUUUGCGAGUUAUGGAAACACAGCCGAAAUUAUUACAAAAUCCCUAUUCUCGCACCACUUCAGCGAAGAGUUUUAAAAAUUACAUCAAUAUGAACGAUUUUUUGUAAGAAUGCUAAAUGCUUAGAUGCACGUUUUACAAAAAAAUACAUACUCCUACAACAACAACUACUACUACUCCACCUACAAAAAUGCAUGCUACAGAGAAUUUUGAGAACUCUCGCGAUUGAGGCACAAUGGUUGAACACAAAGGAAACGCCACAAGCAAUGUGUUUCUUUACAAAUAAAUAUCCGCUCCAUUUUUCAAAACAACAUAACCAUCCAAAUGACAGCUGGAAAGAGAAAUCAAAACAUCACACAGUGGAAGGAAGUGGGGAAAUCUCUAAAUUUGUUAUUAACCUCCACAUCAUCAUCAUCCUCAUCACAAGUUGCCUUGGAAAGUGCAAAAAAACAAGAAAUGAAAAUCAAGUGCUUUUAUUGUAAAUUUUGUUGAGAUCUUUGAUAUUUUUUUUUUAGAAUUAAUGCCUAAAUAUUUUGUAUACAAAGAAAACACAUACACAUCUCAAGCGUGGAAGGGAGGAGUAUGUAUGAUAUGAUAUUUACUUAUGCAAAUCUACUUAUACAAAAUAAUAGAAAUAAUUAUACACCAUACCGUUUUUUAUUAACAUUUUAUUAAAUAUAUUACCUAAGUAUAGUAACAAAUGAAGUCGUCCUUUUAUCCAAAAAACUCCCAUUAUUAACAAUUAUUUGUUGUAUUACUAUUUUAUGUAUUCAAAAGUAUUUUAAAUUGUUUUAUCAGAUUAGAUAACCAGAAAUGCAAAACCAUGUCGUAUCCCGUGUAGAUGUAAAGAGUCUUGCAUUUCAUAAGCGUUUUUAUUUUAUAAAAUAACAAAAUGAAAA